UAUUAUUAUUAUUAUUAUUAUUAUUAAUAUUAUUAUUAGGUUUAAACUUUUAUGCAACCUAAAAUACUUUUCUAAUUUUCAAUAUUAGUGGUUGUAACUUCUUUACUAUGACUAUUAUGAAAUUAAAUUUACGUUUUUGUGUGAUUUAUGCACUAGAAAUUAUUAUAUUGUGAUACAUCAUACAUACAUAUUUUUUUAUUAAUCUAAUAUGUGAUCAAUAAUCAGUAAGUCCUUAACAUUGCUUCCCAUAUUUUGCAGUUCAAAAUGUAAAGGAAUUAAAGAUUGGCAGAAGCAUUACACCUGGCAGAACAGUGUUUGCAGCAUUCGUCAGGGGUCUGCUGCGAUGUCGGCAACCCGCCCGACCCGUCUUGAAACACGGAACCGGUCUCAUUUACAGUGCUUUAGUUACAUGUGGAGGGUCCAGAAGUGACAAUGAAGACCCCCAUGGCUUGUGGAAGAGAAGAAAAAGGAGCAUGGUGGCUUUCAAAGGAGCAUUCAGAAUUAACUUUGCUUCAGACAUGGAGAGAAAUCCAAUUGAUUUGUGGCUGUUUUGUGGUUGUUUGCCUAUGUGAAAAAAAAGUUUACCAUGAAAGUCACGCCUUUUAUAAAGUAAUGUUUAAGAUCAACAGAGGAAAUAGUUGUGCAUUAAAAACAAUGUAAUUUCACUUAAGGUCAAAAGUGUCAUUCUGGCAUUUUUUUUCUGUUAUUUUUAGCCAUGCUAGUGACCUGACUCUAAAGGCCCGGCUCUGAAGGCCCGGCUCUGAAGGCCCGGCUCUAAAGGCCCGGCCCUAAAGGCCCGACUCUAAAGGCUUGGCUCUAAAGGCCCGACUCUAAAGGCUAAAGGCCUGACUCUAAAGGCUUGGCCCUAAAGGCCCAACUCUAAAGGCUGGAUUCUAAAGACCUGGCUCUAGAGGCCCGGCUCUAAAGGUCCGACACUAAAGGCCUGACUCUAAAGGCUUGUCUCUAAAGGCCCGAAUCUAAAGGCUAAAGGCUGGACUUUAAAGACCUGGCUCUAAAGGCCCGGCUCUAAAGGCCCGACUCUAAAGGCUAAAGGCUGGACUUUAAAGACCUGGCUCUAAAGGCCCGGCUCUAAAGGCCCGACUCUAAAGGCUAAAGGCUGGACUUUAAAGACCUGGCUCUAAAGGCCCGACUCUAAAGGCCCGACUCUAAAGGCUAAAGGCUGGACUUUAAAGACCUGGCUCUAAAGGCCCGGCUCUAAAUGCCCGACUCUAAAGGCCUGAAUCUGCUCUAAAGCCCUGCUCUAAAGGCCCUGCUCUAAAGGCCCGGCUCUAAAGGCCUGACUCGGCUCUAAAGGCCCGGCUCUAAAGGCCUGGCCAAACAAGAAAGUUGCAGAGCUAACUUUAGUUACACGCCUUUGUGCUAUAUGGGGUUCUAGAAGCUACUUGCUUGUUGAUCAAAUAUAUUUAGUGACAGUAACUAUAGAUGAAAUAAGGGAUUUACUUUUGCACAUCCACUUGACAAUAUCAUAUGUAUCAUAUACAUUAUCUGCAUUAUAUAAUUGAUUUCAUUUACACUGUGUGCAUUAACCUAUGAUCAUGCUUUUGUGUUGCCGUGUUUUGUCUCACAAAGGGAAUUCAACAGUGUUAGUACAAAAUAUAUCAAAAAGUUGUAAG